AAUGAACGCUGGCGGCAUGCCUAACACAUGCAAGUCGAACGAAGCCUUCGGGCUUAGUGGCGCACGGGUGCGUAACGCGUGGGAACCUGCCUUUAGGUUCGGAAUAACUCGGGGAAACCCGUGCUAAUACCGGAUAAUGACGUAAGUCCAAAGAUUUAUCGCCUAAAGAUGAGCCCGCGUAAGAUUAGCUAGUUGGUGAGGUAAAAGACUCACCAAGGCGACGAUCUUUAGCUGGUCUGAGAGGAUGAUCAGCCACACUGGGAC
rnacentral:rRNA from 1 species